GAUGAACGCUAGCGGCAGGCCUAAUACAUGCAAGUCGAGCGGCAAGUUGAGAAGCAAUUCGAGACCUAGAGUGGCGCACGGGUGCGUAACACGUAUGCAACCUACCUUUUACAGAGGGAUAGCCCAGAGAAAUUUGGAUUAAUACCUCAUAGUAUAUGUUUUUCGCAUGUUAGACAUAUUAAAGUUUCAACGGUAAAAGAUGGGCAUGCGUCCUAUUAGCUAGAUGGUAAGGUAACGGCUUACCAUGGCUACGAUAGGUAGGGGUCCUGAGAGGGAGAUCCCCCACACUGGUACUGAGACACGGACCAGACUCCUACGGGAGGCAGCAGUGAGGAAUAUUGGACAAUGGGCGCAAGCCUGAUCCAGCCAUGCCGCGUGCAGGAAGACGGUCCUAUGGAUUGUAAACUGCUUUUGUACGGGAAGAAACACUCCCUCGUGAGGGAGCUUGACGGUACCGUAAGAAUAAGGAUCGGCUAACUCCGUGCCAGCAGCCGCCGUAAAAC
rnacentral:rRNA from 1 species